UAACUCUCAGCCCCCUCGGGUUGGACUUUGGACGCUGCGGGAGCCGCUUCCGCUCGUCUCAAAUGCAUUAGCGGGGUUUUUUGGGACCAUUGCUGGCGUUUAGUAAUGCUUGCGCCGCGCGGGGUUUCCCGUCCGCUCACUAGCUUGGACGCCACGGCGUCGAACUUUUGAC
rnacentral:misc_RNA from 1 species